GUGACAUUAACCCUCUGCCGAGCACGCCUACAUCCCGUUGUUGUGACAUUAUAAAAACCGCGCGUAACCGACGUAGAUGGUACAUUUUGACGCAGAAUAGUGACGGACCAAGGUGUAAGCAAACGUACAACGAUGCACGUGUCGGUGAUACUCGGCGCAGUAUUGCUACAGGCGAUUUACGUGUCCGCCGGGCCACCUGACUGGGUGCCCCCGGAAAUGUUGGAGAUGGUUCAAGGUGACAAGCAACGGUGCAUGGCCGAGCACGGAACGUCCCAAGCCCUUAUCGAUGAAGUUAACGAUGGGAAACUCACGAAUGACCGUAGUAUAACAUGCUACAUGAAUUGCCUCCUCGAUGCGUUCAGUUUGGUCGAUGAAGAGGGCAAUUUGGAAGCUGAAAUGCUGAUAAGUGUUAUACCAGAGGAGUUUCAAGAAAUUGGCAAUAAGAUUUUAAACAAAUGCGCUGUGCAAGACGGUGCGGAUGCAUGCGAAAAAAUAUACAAUGUGGCGAAAUGUGUCCAAGGUACAGUACCAGAACUAUGGUUCAUGGUUUAAUUCCCAUGGAAAAAUCUAUAAACAUGACGACAUCCUCCAACAGAUCCCGAAACAAACGAGAAACAAAGAGGUAAUGUUGUGAAUUAGAUAAACUAUAAAUAUGCAUUGAAACUGAAGCAGAUCGAUGCGUAAAAACGAAAUAUUUAUGAAUCCAUGUUCAAUUAAACAAUUUUUUAUGAUUUUAUUCGCUUUUGAUUCCAGUACCAAAAAAAAAAACGUAUGUUUCUCGCAAAAUGUUAUGUUUGCAAAACUAUCGUGUAUAGAGUGAUUUAUGUACAUUAAAUAAGUAAAAUUUUGAAAACUAAGUUACGGAAUAAAAGUUAAUUAAAUACGA
rnacentral:misc_RNA from 1 species